rnacentral:rRNA from 1 species
GUUUCAGCCGCCGCGGUAAAACGUAGGGGACGAGCGUUAUCCGGAUUUACUGGGCGUAAAGCGCCCGUAGGCGGCUUUGUAAGUUGGACGUGAAAGCUCCCGGCUUAACUGGGAGAGGCCGUUCAAAACUGGAGAGCUAGAGUGAGGCAGAGGAGCGCGGAAUUCCCGGUGUAGUGGUGGAAUGCGUAGAUAUCGGGAGGAACACCAGUGGCGAAAGCGGCGCUCUGGGCCUAAACUGACGCUGAGGGGCGAAAGCGUGGGGAGCGAACGGGAUUAGAUACCCUAGUAGUCC